rnacentral:rRNA from 1 species
GACGAACGCUGGCGGCGUGCCUAAUACAUGCAAGUCGAACGAGAGCGACCGGUGCUUGCACUGGUCAAUCUAGUGGCGAACGGGUGAGUAACACGUGGGUAACCUGCCCAUCAGAGGGGGAUAACAUCCGGAAACGGAUGCUAAAACCGCAUAGGUCUUCGAACCGCAUGGUUUGAAGAGGAAAAGAGGCGCAAGCUUCUGCUGAUGGAUGGACCCGCGGUGCAUUAGCUAGUUGGUGAGGUAACGGCUCACCAGGGCCGUGAUGCAUAGCCGACCUGAGAGGGUGAUCGGCCACAUUGGGACUGAGACACGGCCCAAACUCCUACGGGAGGCAGCAGUAGGGAAUCUUCCGCAAUGGACGCAAGUCUGACGGAGCAACGCCGCGUGAGUGAAGAAGGUUUUCGGAUCGUAAAACUCUGUUGUUAGAGAAGAACAAGUGCUAGAGUAACCGUUAGCGCCUUGACGGUAUCUAACCAGAAAGCCACGGCUAACUACGUG